rnacentral:tRNA from 1 species
GCCCCUGUAGUAUAGUGGAUACUUGCAAAAGCCAAAACAGAAUACCAGGUUGCGGUCCUGGAGGCCCGGGUUCGAUUCCCGGCAGGGGCA